UACGGAGGGAAAACACAUGACUGAGUGGCGGACGGGUGAGUAACGCGUAGGGAACCUGGCCCUUACAGGGGGAUAACAGAUGGAAACAACUGCUAAUACCGCAUAAGCGCCCAGCCUCGCAUGAGGCAGAGUGAAAAACUAAGGUGGUAAGGGAUGGCCCUGCGUCCGAUUAGCUAGUUGGUAUGGUAACGGCAUACCAAGGCGACGAUCGGUAGCCGGCCUGAGAGGGUGGACGGCCACAUUGGGACUGAGACACGGCCCAAACUCCUACGGGAGGCAGCAGUGGGGGAUAUUGCACAAUGGGGGAAACCCUGAUGCAGCGACACCGCGUGGGUGAGGAAGCGCUUCGGCGUGUAAAGCCCUAUCAGUGGGGAAGAAAAAGGACGGUACCCAAAGAAGAAGCACCGGCUAAAUACGUGCCAGCAGCCGCGGUAAUACGUAUGGUGCAAGCGUUAUCCGGAAUGACUGGGUGUAAAGGGAGCGUAGACGGUUGUACAAGUCUGAUGUGAAAGCCCACGGCUCAACUGUGGGAGUGCAUUGGAAACUGUAGAACUAGAGUAUCGGAGAGGCAAGUGGAAUUCCUAGUGUAGCGGUGAAAUGCGUAGAUAUUAUGAGGAACACCAGUGGCGAAGGCGGCUUGCUGGACGAAAACUGACGUUGAGGCUCGAAAGCGUGGGGAGCAAACAGGAUUAGAUACCCUGGUAGUCCACGCUGUAUACGAUGAAUACUANGUGUUGGGGCCCGAACGGCGUCCGUGCCGUCGCAGACGCAGUANGUAUUCCACCU
rnacentral:rRNA from 1 species